ensembl:ncRNA Y71A12B.31 ncRNA
GGAAAAGUUUGGAAAAAAAUAAAAUCCAUCGGACGAGAUAGUGUGGGAAAGGUGGGGUGCAGCAGACGACGAGGCGGAUGGGGGAUGGGUCUCGCCACGAAGGGCGUGCGCCUUUAAACUGGAAUUGUCGUUGGCCUAAAAAGUUUUCGCUCCUUUUUUCAUUUUUCCCUCGAAUUUUUGGGUGAAUUUCUCAUUUUUAGGCGAACUUUUCGGUUUUUUUUUCGAAUUUUCAAAAUUUUAAAUGUUUUCCUGAUAGUUUUCCUCCACAUUUCGCAGGAUAUU